rnacentral:rRNA from 1 species
CCUACGGGCGGCAGCAGUGAGGAAUAUUGGUCAAUGGGCGCUAGCCUGAACCAGCCAAGUAGCGUGAAGGAUGACUGCCCUAUGGGUUGUAAACUUCUUUUAUAUGGGAAUAAAGUGCAGUAUGUAUACUGCUUUGCAUGUACCUUAUGAAUAAGGAUCGGCUAACUCCGUGCCAGCAGCCGCGGUAAUACGGAGGAUUCGAGCGUUAUCCGGAUUGAUUGGGUUUAAAGGGAGCGUAGGCGGGUUGUUAAGUCAGUUGGGAAAGUUUGCGGCUCAACCGUAAAAUUGCAGUUGAUACUGGCAUCCUUGAGUACAGUAGAGGUAGGCGGAAUUCGUGGUGUAGCGGUAAAAUGCUUAGAUAUCACGAAGAACUCCGAUUGCGAAGGCAGCCUGCUGGACUGUAACUGACGCUGAUGCUCGAAAGUGUGGGUAUCAAACAGGAUUAGAUACCCGGGUAGUC